UUCGCUGUCAUUCCAUAUCAUAGUUGGCCAUCACGUAGUAGGCUUUGGUUUACACACUUGUUAUCCAUAGAAAAAUCUCCUCUUGUACAGUUCUCUGAUUUCUAUGCCUUUAUUCUUUUCCGCACGGUCAUUCACUGGUCUUUACUAAUAGUAUACUGGUUGUUAUUGUGCGAUACGUUGUGCGACUACGGAAUUAUGGAGACAGAUCAAGGUGAAUUCCACGUGCCAUGCUUUGAUCGAGAACUUCCCCUAGAAAGCCGAGACAUAAUAAGAGAUCAAGUAACAAGAAUAUUUCAAGCCUGCUUUCCGACAUUAGUAGUGAUUAGAGUGUCAAGUAAUCGUAAAUUACCAAGUCGGGAAAAUAGAAGAUUUGAAAGCACCUGUUUCUGGAAUAUCCUAUUCAACAUACGUGAUGAUAUAGCACAAGAAAAUCUAUCAUGCGACCAGAUGAAAGAAAUGUUCAAAAUGUAUCAACCACCAAAUUGUGAAUUAUACGCUGCAGUCCCACUAGAGGGACAACUAUGGCACACCAGUUAUGGAAUACGCGACUGUGAAUGCUUCGCAGACAAUCCUUUUCACAUGCAACGUAGGAAAAUGCGCGAAAUUAGUAAUUUGUUUUCAGGAUUUACGUUGCAAUAAUUGGCGAAAAUCGCCUUUCAAAUUGAAAAUGCAAAUACACGUUUUUUAUGUAGACACUCAUUUAGUUUAAUAAAUUUAUACCUUGUAUAA